AUUGAACGCUGGCGGCAUGCCUUACACAUGCAAGUCGAACGGCAGCACGGGAGCAAUCCUGGUGGCGAGUGGCGAACGGGUGAGUAAUACAUCGGAACGUGCCCAAUCGUGGGGGAUAACGCAGCGAAAGCUGUGCUAAUACCGCAUACGAUCUACGGAUGAAAGCAGGGGACCGCAAGGCCUUGCGCGAAUGGAGCGGCCGAUGGCAGAUUAGGUAGUUGGUGGGGUAAAGGCUCACCAAGCCAACGAUCUGUAGCUGGUCUGAGAGGACGACCAGCCACACGGGGACUGAGACACGGCCCAGACUCCUACGGGAGGCAGCAGUGGGGAAUUUUGGACAAUGGGCGCAAGCCUGAUCCAGCCAUGCCGCGUGCAGGAUGAAGGCCUUCGGGUUGUAAACUGCUUUUGUACGGAACGAAACGGCCUUUUCUAAUAAAGAGGGCUAAUGACGGUACCGUAAGAAUAAGCACCGGCUAACUACGUG
rnacentral:rRNA from 1 species